GAAAAUUGCUUGGGAUAUGUCCAUUAUGAGAAAUAUGAGGUGGGGGACAAGCAAUGGGCAUAUGUGAAGAAAAUCCCAAUGUCGACGAUGGACCAACUCGUGAUUGAAGAAUAUCUUUGGCUAUGAGUCCAUCAAUGUUAAUAUCCAACCUUGGAUUCACGGUAGCGAGUUUCAUUGAUAAAAACUCGACUUGUCGCUGCAGUGAUUGGACAUAGUUAAUGAUUUCAUCUAGCAUCA
rnacentral:misc_RNA from 1 species